rnacentral:misc_RNA from 1 species
GAUGAAGAACGUAGCGAAAUGCGAUAAGUAGUGUGAAUUGCAGAAUUCAGUGAAUCAUCGAAUCUUUGAACGCACAUUGCGCCCCUUGGUAUUCCAUGGGGCAUGCCUGUUCGAGCGUCAUUUGUACCUUCAAGCUUUGCUUGGUGUUGGGUGUUUGUCCAUUCUCUUGCAGAGGGACUCGCCUUAAGGUAAUUGGCAGCCAGUGUUUUGGUUUUGAAGCGCAGCACAAGUCGCGAUUCAACGCUAUACGCCAGCUUCCACAAGCCUUUUUCACUUUUGACCUCGGAUCUGGUAGGGAUACCCGCUGAACUUAAGCAUAUCAAUAAGCGGAGGA